ACACACACACACACACACACACACACACACACACACACACACACAGCAUGAACUGACACGUUGGCCGACCAAUCAUAGGCGCCCUUAGAACCCACCAAUCAGAGCCCGCCCAGAGCUUCAUAUAUAUCCCUUGGGUUUGCUUCCUCUCCCCAAUUUGAGCUCAGGGACUAGAAGCGCAGCAGGAAACGCGAACACAACGAGGUCAGUUGUACAAAUCUCGUGGAAGUUAAUCCCGUGGACGCUUGUGGACCGGGGACACGCAAGCUCCCUCCAUAGCGGGACUUAUAACGUCCAGGGGCGCAGCCGUUUGUGUGGGUCUUAGAGGAAGCGCAGAGGAAUGUCUGUCGUUAGGUGAGAUGCGGUGACACGAUUUCAGAAACACGGAUGUCAUCGUUUCAAAGAUUGAUCUGCAUGCGAUGCAAUCUGGAUGUACACACAGCCAAGGACAAUUGUAUUCUACGAUCCAGCACCAAAAUACCGUUGGACCUCGGUCAUCAGGUCAGAUCAUCGCAGGGCCACCCUUACCUUGGGUUCACCCUGCAAUGAAAUACAAAACAAUAUGGUAGCCACUCAAUAUCCCGAGGAGCUUGGAGUGGCUUACAGCCCUGCCCGGGUGCAGGUCAUCUUUAAACAAUCCCAAAUCAAUUUACAGGGACUCCACCACCAACAGGAGUCACAGGCGAGGACGGUGAGCACUGGAUCUCAGCCGCCCACACUGGCCAAUACAAAGACUGCCUUCAAUCCAUCAGCACAUGUCACCGCCGGGCACAGCGGUUGUUAUGGGACAUCGAAUCAUGGUUGCUCUGUAAGACCAUCUGUUAAUGAAAGUGAACAACGAAGGGAAUGUUCAAAGGGACAAUUUAGUAGACGUUUUCUGAAUGCGUCAAAUUUGAACAAGACUGGACUGCAGCAAAGAAAACAUUUGACUUGUGAAUUUUCUGCUGGUGGCAAAUCUGCAGCGCUCCAGGAAGACUGCCUUGACGUAGCAAAGACCCCUCCUAAAGUUCAAGGUUCUUCUAUGACUGCACAGGAAAGGUGUCCACUGCUGUUGGAAUUAAGGACGGGAAACCUGCUUGAAUCCAAAUCCUUUUUCACCAGCGGCUCUUGCCCAGAGGAAGCCAAUGCCAACAUGGAACUCAAUACAGUUAUUCAUGAUGCUGAGCGAGGACCCCAUGGAUGUCUUCCAGUUGAAGGUUCACUAACUGCUCUAGACUGUGGGCAGACGAGAACACAAGCCCUACAUCAUUUGGAGUUUCCUUCUGUGCCGGUGUCUCCUCCCUCUCACAGGCUCCAGACAUCUAACCACAACAAAAAAACAAAACCGCCUACAAAGAAAGCCAUACAUGCCAUUAUUGAAAAAAAGCUUGCGUUGUAUUCUGAAUAUUUAAUGCUUAAAAAACAAAAUAACUCCAUGCUGCUGUCAAUGCAGUCCCAUCUCUACACAACGGCAGCUUCCAAGGAAGAUGUGGCGAGGCAAGAUAAGUGUGUCGCUACUGAAGAGCCCUCUGCUGCAGCUGGGAAAGCACUUGAAGAAGAGGAAGCUUCUAAAAGCAGCAUGCCAAAUGAUCCUUCUACAGCUGCUUCGGAGAAACCUUCAACAGAAUAUCCACAAAUGCUGAAAGUUGCUGCCACUUCCACAAAGAAUGAAGCUGAGAGUCUCGGGGUUCUCACAGCAGUGCCUGGAACAACCUGGAAGGACCAGAGGAAGAAGCGGCCCAGUUUCCAGCUCAACCGCAACUUGUCACAAGAAGAAUCCAGGCGUUUGUGGUUAAAUGUCAACACAUAUUCGGAUGACGUGGAAAUAGGGCCUGGUGUCUGUACCGAGAGGGAGAAGGGAUAUGCAGCCCUGAACACUGUGGAGACUGUAGGAUCGGACAAUACAAAGGUUAUUGCUGAUCAUACCAAGUCAAGUUCAGAGUCCGGUCCCAUGGCCUUCGGAUUGUCAUCACUCUCGGAAUAUCAAAAAGCAAAGAAAAAGAUUAACCAUGAGAAUUCUCAUCAUCACAUCUGUAAGGAAGGAACUGCAACUUCAAAUUCUUCAGUUUGUAAAACUGCCAUUCUUAAUAUGCUAUCAAUUCCUACAAACCAAAGUGAACAGCAGAGCAGCCAAACGAGGCGUGCGAGGGAGGACGCUGCUUUUGCAAGUUCACAAGCUAUCUCCGGCACAUCAGUACCCAUUAAGGCGCUCCAAAAACCUGCUCUGCUAUGUGAAGGAAAGGCUGAGAAAGCAUAUGAACUGUAUGAAGACAUUUCAGAUGAUGACAUGCCACAUUUGACCGCCAAACUACCAAACACCGAUCGAUGGGAAUUAAGCUCUCCUGCAAGUUUUGAUGACACAAGUGAAGCAGAAAGUAAGGCUGUAGAAACCGCUACGCCUACUCUUGUAACUGCAACCAGCGACAGGCACUCCCCAGGACAUGGACACGUGCAGGGUCAUGAUUACAUUGACACACUUGCUAUAGCACAACAUUCUCGCUCUUGCUCAUUUUAUUUUGAAACGGAUGAUGGUUUUGAAAGGAGGUUCUGUCCUAAAUGUGAUUGUGGGAGACAAACGGUCCCCUCUGCUUCAUGCAGUCCGUCCUUUGUUUUGAACAGUGAGGAUGAGACUGACGACGAAAUGGAUGACUAUUUAGCCAUACCUAUAAGCGUAAUCCAUCUUAAAUAUGCACCAGAAGAUGAAAACCAGGAUAGCUCCGAAACAAAUGUCCUAGAAGUGGUGGAAACGGGAGCCCAAGAAAGACCGAGGGGCGCAAGUCAAACUGCUUUUCCUUCGCUGCCGGUGUUUGACACGGAGGAGUGCUUCCUGCGAGCUGUGCAAUGCGAGUUUACGUUGGGCAGUAGCCCCCUUGUACAUGAAACGGACUCUGAGGAAGCUGUAUCAACACCUCAGAAGAGAAGAGAGUCUGUAGACAGCUCUGACACUGUGGACAGUUGUGAUUACUCCUCUGCAUCAGAACACAACUUUUUGACUGUGCCCAGGAAGAUGAUGAGGAAAGGCUCAGCAACUGUGCCCUCAGCGACAGAUGAUUUUAUGUCUGAAGAAGAGGGUAAGGACAAUAGGGUCACAAAUAUCCUAAAAGACCAAAUGAGCCCUAAAGGGGCUAAACCUAGACGGAUGUCUGAAGCCAAACACAGUGGCUCCAAGCAGAUUUCAACUGUAGAGAGGGAGGACAUAAUAGUCUUGGAUUCUGACACGGAGGAUGAAAGUGUUGAAAUAUGCAAAGCCACUCUUAAAAGAAAGCGGAAACGAGGGUGCACAGCAAGCGCAGACAUUGCUGAUGCCUCAUGCAGUCAACAAAAGAGACAUUCGCCUAGAACUGAAUCUCAAAAGAACACACAUGCAUCUGCUUGCUCACCAACAGCACCACGCCAAUCCAGAGAUGAUGCGGUGUAUGAAGAAGAGAUGCAGGACACGUUCGCUGAUGUGUCACAGAGUACAGGGAAGAGGGAGCAGUUUAUUCAAACCAAAGAUGUUCAACACAAGACCCACAUACAAAAGAGUUCCGCAGUAGAGGGGGUAAUAAUAAUCAUCGACUCUGAUGCAGAGGAUGACAACCCCCAAAACUGUGAAGAGUUUAGCAGGGAAAUAUCUGCCGUCUCAGCCAACGGCAAGGCCCCACGUGUUGGAUUCGAAACUGCGUACAGAGGGUGUGGACCUGCUGAGGCAAAGCUCCAAGAAACUGGACUUUCUUUAGCAGACUCGCCACAACGCCAGUCUGACCUUCAUGACACACAUUUCAGAGGAGCAACAGAGGCUGCGUGCUCCUACCUGUCUCUCAGUCAGCAGCUGGUAGAAGCUAAAGGGGUCUCUGCGCAGGUACCGCACCAGGCACACAAACUAUUGUCAAAAAGCGUGGUAGGUCAUCAUGCUUCUAAAGAAGUGGUUAAAGGCAAUUCCAGCAAAAAGGCCAUUCCAGAAGAAAUUACCUCAUCAGGAUCAGAUGGUAACCGUGAUGUUACACAAAGCAGAUCAGGUGAAUCUGCCAGGAUUCAGGCAGGUGAAUCUGCAGACCGUCUUUGUGGAACUGCUAAUGCAGAGCCUGUGAUCCCUCGCUUUCUUGCACAGCCUUCUGGAAACACAGCAUGCUUGACACUUUUAAGAGAACCUGUAGUUCACAAGCCGCGUAAAGAUAAAUCUCUGUCAGUCCAGACCCCCACUUCAUCCAGCAAAAAGGUAACAUUCUGUGAAAACAAUAAAGUAAUAUAUCUGCUCCCACCCGAAGCUGCAAUGGUGUCAAGACGGCGCUCCUUACCUCCGCAGGAAGGCCCAUCCACCUCCUUCAUUAGUUCGUCCUCCGCAGGUGAACAUUGUCAUGUAGGCAAACAAAGGUCUGCUUACUCAAAAGGUUUGUCUCCACUAAAGGGCUUUAGUCUUCCAUUUAAUCCCAGAGAACAAUCGUGUCCACCUAAACGGCGGUGGUCUUACAGCAGCCCUGCAACGUCAUCCAAGCCCACAAAAGGCCCAGCACAGACCGUGCAGCUCAAUGCCACUGGCUAUGUAAAGGAACAAGUGAAUGGCGCGUCUCCAAACAGUCCUUUGUCACGCGACAUCAGACGCAGACCUGGUCUCCAUGACAAGCCUGGUAGGGAAAGGGCUCCCAGAAAGAAGCGCCAGUCCCACAAGACUCCAACCACCAUGAUGAAGAAAGCCACCAAUGAUGCCAUUCAGUGGACAAAGAACAGAAAACAGGCCUCCCAAAAAGAAAGAAACUCAGUGGGUGAGGGUUACAAGUGGGCAGAGAAGUCAAACGUGGCAAAGCCAACCAAAGGUCCCAGCAGGGAGAGGAAGGGGAGAUGA
ensembl:lncRNA